rnacentral:rRNA from 1 species
AAAUUGAAGAGUUUGAUCAUGGCUCAGAUUGAACGCUGGCGGCAGGCCUAACACAUGCAAGUCGAACGGUAACAGGAAGCAGCUUGCUGCUUCGCUGACGAGUGGCGGACGGGUGAGUAAUGUCUGGGAAACUGCCUGAUGGAGGGGGAUAACUACUGGAAACGGUAGCUAAUACCGCAUAACGUCGCAAGACCAAAGAGGGGGACCUUCGGGCCUCUUGCCAUCGGAUGUGCCCAGAUGGGAUUAGCUUGUUGGUGGGGUAACGGCUCACCAAGGCGACGAUCCCUAGCUGGUCUGAGAGGAUGACCAGCCACACUGGAACUGAGACACGGUCCAGA